rnacentral:rRNA from 1 species
AACGAACGCUGGCGGCAUGCCUAACACAUGCAAGUCGAACGAGACCUUCGGGUCUAGUGGCGCACGGGUGCGUAACGCGUGGGAACCUGCCCUUAGGUUCGGAAUAACUCCCCGAAAGGGGUGCUGAUACCGGAUAAUGUCUUCGGACCAAAGAUUUAUCGCCUUUGGAUGGGCCCGCGUUGGAUUAGCUAGUUGGUAGGGUGAAAGCCUACCAAGGCGACGAUCCAUAGCUGGUCUGAGAGGAUGAUCAGCCACACUGGGACUGAGACACGGCCCAGACUCCUACGGGAGGCAGCAGUGGGGAAUAUUGGACAAUGGGCGAAAGCCUGAUCCAGCAAUGCCGCGUGAGUGAUGAAGGCCUUAGGGUUGUAAAGCUCUUUUACCCGGGAUGAUAAUGACAGUACCGGGAGAAUAAGCUCCGGCUAACUCCGUG